rnacentral:sRNA from 1 species
AAUGACCUCAACAAAAUCAACCCCAUCUACCAGUUCUCCCUCAAGGUGCGCCCUGCAGCUGGGGCUGGGUGCCUCCCUCAAGGUGGGGCUGCAUCUGGGCUCCACAGCCAGGCCUGUUGCCCACACAGCCAUCGGGCAGUGCCAGGGCCACCCUCAGAGGGCAGACCUGGUCCAGCCUGCAGAUGGGGCUGGAAGAGGGGGAGCCAGGGGCCCCCAUCAGUCCUACACCCAUUCUCCCCAGGAGAGGGUAUGAGCUGCUCCCUCCUCCCUGCUCUUCCCCUGGUGCCUCCAGGCACUCACAACCCAAUCAAAACAAACUGGAUGGCCUGGCAUGGUGGCUCAUGCCUGUCAUCUCAGCACUAUGGGGGGCCGAGGCGGGUGGAUCACCUGAGGUCAGGAGUUCAAGACCAGCCUGACCAACAUGGUGAAACACUGUCUGUACUAAAAAUAAAAAAAUUAGCCAGGUGUGGUGGUGUGCGCCUUGGGAGGCUGAGGCAGGAGAAUCGCUUGAACACUGCAACCUCCCUCACUGCAGAGGGUGCAGUGAGCCAAGAUCACGCCACUGCACUCCAGCCUGGGCGACAGAGCGAGACUCUGUCUCAAACAAACAAAACAAACUGGAGGCCACCACAGGUGGCAGGGAGUGGUGGCGGGGAGUGGUGAAGGGCUCCAUCUCUGCACGCCUCCAUGGCUCUCGGUGGCGGAUCCCCAGGCCUUCAACGUGGUGUUUGAGAAAGCCAUCCAGAGGACCACCCCUGCCAACGAGGUGAAGCAGCGGGUGAUCAACCUGACGGACGAGAUCACCUACUCCGUCUACAUGUACACGGCCCGGGGACUCUUCGAGAGGGACAAACUCAUUUUCCUGGCACAAGUUACGUUUCAGGUCCUGUCCAUGAAGAAGGAGCUGAACCCAGUGGAGCUGGAUUUCCUCCUGCGGUUCCCUUUUAAGGCCGGAGUGGUCUCACCAGUGGACUUCCUGCAGCAUCAAGGCUGGGGCGGGAUCAAGGCCCUCUCGGAGAUGGAUGAGUUCAAAAAUCUGGACAGUGACAUCGAAGGAUCUGCCAAGCGCUGGAAAAAGCUGGUGGAGUCGGAAGCCCCCGAGAAGGAGAUCUUCCCCAAGGAGUGGAAGAACAAGACGGCCCUGCAGAAGCUGUGCAUGGUGCGCUGCCUGCGGCCAGACCGCAUGACCUACGCUAUCAAGAACUUCGUGGAGGAAAAGAUGGGCAGCAAGUUCGUGGAAGGCCGGAGUGUUGAGUUUUCUAAGUCCUAUGAGGAGAGCAGCCCCUCCACGCCAAUCUUCUUCAUUCUCUCCCCGGGGGUUGACCCCUUGAAAGACGUGGAAGCCCUGGGAAAAAAACUAGGGUUUACCAUAGACAAUGGAAAACUCCAUAAUGUGUCCCUGGGGCAGGGACAAGAGGUGGUGGCUGAGAACGCCCUGGACGUGGCUGCAGAGAAAGGACACUGGGUCAUUCUGCAGAAUAUCCACCUGGUGGCCCGGUGGCUGGGGACACUGGACAAGAAGCUGGAGCGCUACAGCAUGGGCAGCCAUGAGGACUACCGGGUGUUCAUCAGCGCGGAGCCUGCCCCCAGCCCCGAGACCCACAUCAUCCCCCAGGGCAUCCUGGAGAAUGCCAUCAAGAUCACCAACGAGCCCCCCACGGGCAUGCACGCCAACUUGCACAAGGCCCUGGACCUGUUCACCCAGGACACCCUGGAGAUGUGCGCCAAGGAGAUGGAGUUCAAGUGCAUCCUCUUCGCCCUGUGCUACUUCCACGCUGUGGUGGCAGAGAGGCGCAAGUUCGGCACCCAGGGCUGGAACCGGUCGUACCCCUUCAACAACGGGGACCUCACCAUCUCCAUCAACGUGCUCUACAACUACCUGGAGGCCAACCCCAAGGUGCCCUGGGACGAUCUUCGCUACCUUUUUGGUGAAAUCAUGUAUGGCGGCCACAUCACAGACGACUGGGACCGUCGGCUGUGCAGGACCUACCUGGCUGAAUACAUCCGGACGGAGAUGCUGGAAGGAGACGUCCUGCUGGCCCCCGGCUUUCAGAUCCCCCCCAACCUGGACUACAAGGGUUACCACGAAUACAUCGAUGAGAACCUGCCCCCUGAGAGUCCCUAUCUGUAUGGCCUGCACCCCAACGCAGAGAUUGGCUUUCUGACGGUCACCUCAGAGAAGCUGUUCCGCACUGUCCUGGAAAUGCAGCCGAAAGAGACGGACUCGGGGGCAGGCACGGGAGUGUCCCGCGAGGAGAAGGUGAAGGCCAUGCUGGACGACAUCCUGGAGAAGAUUCCGGAGACUUUCAACAUGGCUGAGAUCAUGGCAAAGGCAGCGGAAAAGACCCCCUACGUGGUAGUCGCCUUUCAAGAAUGUGAAAGAAUGAACAUCCUGACCAACGAAAUGCGCCGUUCGCUGAAGGAGCUGAACCUGGGGCUGAAGGGAGAACUGACCAUCACGACCGACAUGGAAGAUCUGUCCACGGCUCUCUUCUAUGACACCGUGCCUGAUACGUGGGUGGCCCGGGCCUACCCCUCCAUGAUGGGCCUGGCGGCCUGGUACGCAGACCUGCUGCUCCGCAUCAGGGAACUCGAGGCCUGGACGACAGACUUUGCCCUGCCCACCACCGUGUGGCUGGCCGGCUUCUUCAACCCCCAGUCGUUCCUCACGGCCAUCAUGCAGUCCAUGGCCAGGAAGAACGAGUGGCCCCUGGACAAGAUGUGUUUGUCUGUCGAGGUGACCAAGAAAAACCGAGAGGACAUGACCGCUCCCCCGCGAGAGGGCUCCUACGUGUACGGACUCUUCAUGGAAGGGGCUCGCUGGGACACCCAGACUGGAGUCAUCGCUGAAGCGCGGCUGAAAGAGCUGACCCCGGCCAUGCCUGUCAUCUUCAUCAAGGCCAUUCCUGUGGACCGCAUGGAGACCAAGAACAUCUAUGAGUGUCCCGUGUACAAAACACGCAUCCGCGGCCCCACCUAUGUCUGGACCUUUAACUUGAAGACCAAAGAGAAGGCAGCGAAGUGGAUCCUGGCAGCCGUGGCGCUGCUCCUACAGGUUUAGCUCGCUGCUGCCUCACAGCCCACACGCCCUGGGGCUGGACCACAACUCAGCCCUUCACCUGUGCACCUGUGACUUAUUCUUUACAGGAACUGGUGGUGGUUUUUUGUUCUCUUAAAUAAUCGAGGUGCUUUGCUUUGUAACCAAGCACGUCGGAACUAACCCGAGGGUGGAGGUUGGUGUGGAAGAGGCGGGGCAGAUUAAAGCCUGUGGAGCCAC